rnacentral:sRNA from 1 species
AUGUAUCCAGUGCUGAAUUUGUUUCUGUAUUGUUCAGAGAAGAGCUGCAGUACAGCCAGUGGCAGUGCAAACUUCUCCACAUUAUGCCAACACUAUACCUCAGUCUUGCUCUUGAGGGACCACCUCUGGAUUUUGAAGGUUGUUCAGUCUACACCACUCAGUUCCUGGUUUAU